rnacentral:rRNA from 1 species
GACGAACGCUUUCUUCGUGCUUAACACAUGCAAGUCGAACGGAAAGGCCCUGCUUUUGUGGGGUGCUCGAGUGGCGAACGGGUGAGUAACACGUGAGUAACCUGCCCUUGACUUUGGGAUAACUUCAGGAAACUGGGGCUAAUACCGGAUAGGAGCUCCUGCUGCAUGGUGGGGGUUGGAAAGUUUCGGCGGUUGGGGAUGGACUCGCGGCUUAUCAGCUUGUUGGUGGGGUAGUGGCUUACCAAGGCUUUGACGGGUAGCCGGCCUGAGAGGGUGACCGGCCACAUUGGGACUGAGAUACGGCCCAGACGCCUACGGGAGGCAGCAGGGGGGAAUAUUGCACAAUGGGCGGAAGCCUGAUGCAGCAACGCCGCGUGCGGGAGGACGGCCUUCGGGUUGUAAACCGCUUUCGCCUGUGACGAAGCGUGAGGGACGGGAAUGGGUAAAGAAGCACCGGCGAACUACGU